AUCUAGCUUGCUAGAUGCUGACGAGUGGCGCACGGGUGCGUAACGCGUAUACAAUCUACCUUUAACUGAGGGAUAGCCCAGAGAAAUUUGGAUUAAUACCUCAUAGUAUUAUAAUUAGGCAUCUUUUUAUAAUUAAAACUUCGGUGGUUAAAGAUGAGUAUGCGUACUAUUAGCUAGUUGGUAAGGUAAAAGCUUACCAAGGCAACGAUAGUUAGGGGGCCUGAAAGGGUGAUCCCCCACACUGGUACUGAGACACGGACCAGACUCCUACGGGAGGCAGCAGUGAGGAAUAUUGCACAAUGGAGGAAACUCUGAUGCAGCCAUGCCGCGUGCAGGAAGAAUGCCCUAUGGGUUGUAAACUGCUUUUAUACAAGAAGAAACCUCGGUACGUGUACCGACUCGACGGUAUUGUAUGAAUAAGCACCGGCUAACUCCGUGCCAGCAGCCGCGGUAAUACGGAGGGUGCAAGCGUUAUCCGGAUUUAUUA
rnacentral:rRNA from 1 species